CACGGGUGAAACAGUAUGAAGAUACGUGCUCUUUUAGGAUAUUGGUGACGAAACAUAUUUUUGAAUAUGCAGUUCAUAUAAUGGAAUGGUAGUUUUGAGAUAUAAAAUGAAGUACCAAUGUUGAACUAAACCAUAAAGGAAGGAUCUAAAAUUUAAACUAUGCAUGUUAAAACUAUUAUGAAUGCGGAGUGGGGGUAUUGCACGAUAGCCUCAGUAGUAGUAUGAUACUUUGAUAUCAAAUGGACUACAGUUAAAAAGUUGCAUUUACUACCAAUCCAUGCACAAUAGUAAGAUGUAUGUUCCUGAGCGUAUUAUGGACAAAGAAAAGGGUUGUGGUGUACUUUAAAAUUUUGAACUAAGUACGGUAGAAUGGUUGCCAUACGCCUUCAUAUUACAGAAACCACCAGCGUACACUACAGCAUAAUUACGAUUUCAGUUGUUAUAGUUCACACACAAAUUAAUUGGGCUAGUUUAAUCUCCUGCAUGGUUUAUUCCAUUGGCAAUCAUAUUCAAGAAAAUUCAUAUUCUGUAUGAAGCUUGAUUGAGCCGUAGAUUCACACAGAUACCGAUCAUAGUUAUCUUUUCUUCAUUUACAUAAAUGAAUGUCGGGAAUUCGGAAUAUGGCAGUUAUACAUGUAUCCUCAGUUUAUAUUUAUUUUGAAGCAUUAUCGAACUAAUACGACUUAAAUUUCUCUUUAAAAUUUACUUUGCACUAAAUAUCUAGUAAAUGACUUUACAUGGGAAUAACUUGGGGUGUAUUCAUGUAUACUAGUAUGUAAUGAUAAUAAAAAGAAACCAACAGCACUAUUUGACGAAGACGAAAUUAAGGAUUGAAUUUUAACGUCCAGUGACAUAUAUUACAAUGAUGUCGAAACAGAACUUGAAAUUGACAAUAGGUAUUCCGUCGCGUUUCCAAAGAAUUCACGCUUAGUUGCGAUUUCACGUGCUAUUUUGAAGAGACAUGUUUUGUCGAAAUGCACAUCUGGUGCAAGAAAAUUGGUACCGUUAAUUUUAUUACAACUUCGGGUUCGCAUUAUAGUUAUAUUUGUACAAAAUAACUAACAAUAAAAAAAAUUGUGAUGAUUUCUUUAACUGUUCUUGAACGUUCUAGUUUUAAUAUAAAUCUGUGAUUUUUCUAUAUUCGUACUUUCGACGAAGCAAAGCAAGUUCGAUCUAGACCUGGACAAUUUGAUGCAUUUAGCAAUAUUCAAUCGUUGUACAAAUUUAUUGUAGAACAUGUAGAAAAUCCGUCUUUUUCGGAUAAAAAAAAAUCUACUUUGUUAACUCGGAUCGAAAACUUACAAUAUAGUUAACUUAUUGAAACAUGAACGCGGACUACAUUGAGAACAUCUUGGAUUGAAAGAUUGCAAAUCUAAUGACCAAUGAAAUGCUUUAGAUUUAGAACGCAGACCUCAACGAGAACACCUAGAUGGAUAACACACUGUAAUCUUUAGACCGUCGAACAGAUAGCGAUAAUUCCAGACUUCUUCUUCUUCUUUUUCUUUUAGUUCAAAUAAGGUCACAAUAUAGAAGAGUACAAAGUCAUACUGCCAAGGAAUUGUAUAUUAGGAAUUGUAUAUUUACAAUCCCUUGAUGCUGCUGUACAUGCGUGAUUGACAAAGAUUGAAUAAAAUUGAAUUAUUCAUAAAAAUGUUUAUCACAAUUUAAGUGUUUCUAUAUUAAGAUUGUGAUUAAAAAUAUGCAUUUUAUGUACUUGUUUUGGUUUGGAUUUGUUUAUUCAAAGCUCGCGAGAACAGCUGAUCUCUUAAGGCCGUAACGGUGGUGGUAGAUAUUCACAGAUUUAUUUUUUUACAUAAAAACACACUAUUACAUAUUCAUGUGACAAUAAUAAUGUGUCUGUUUUUUUAAACCAAUUUAGAAUUGGUGUAUAUAUGUCUCCGCUGAUAAUAAUUCUAUGUUAGAUAAACAUAAUUAUUUGGAAUUAAAAUUUGUAUAGUUACAAUAAGUACAUUUUCAAAAUCAUUUAUUUAUUUAGGCUUGAUGAAGAUCUACAUGAUUUAACGAAUAAAUGUAAGAAGAUGUGGUGUACUUGCCAAUGAAUUAGAUCACCGUACAGCCUUCAACAACGAGCAAAAACCUAACCGCAUAAACAUGUAUAUCAUUUCCCAAAAUUACAAACAAUUUAAACAAGAAAACUAUCGGCCUGAUUGAUGUACAACACUUAUAGAAAAAUAUAUACAAAAACGACAACCACUGGUCACUGGGGAUUCAAACCAUAUGUCCCAAUCGAAAAAUAAUUUCGUCAAACAAACGGGAGUUCUUAUCUACAGAACAAAACCUGUAUCCGCCAUUGUACAGUCUCCUGGCUAGUAUACCUGUAGGAUAGUCAAAGAUAAUGGCGUUAAACAAAUAUUGUCUUUAUUUAUGUUUUUAUUCCAUUCAGAUCUUCAAUUUAUCGAUUGAUUAAUAAAAAAACGAAGCAAAUAUUUUAGUUAAUCUACCAGUAAUUAAAUGUCAGUACGAUCUUUCUGAUAAGAUUGUAAGACUAUAUAUUGCUAUUUGGCUGUGAAAUUUGGAGAUUUAGUUUUAUUGAUGCAUUAGAAAGUUAAACUUGAAAAAAAUCAACCCUAGCUUCAUGGUUUAUGGAGAGCUAGGCGCUUAUCCUAUGUCAGUAUAUGUGGAACACCGUAUGGUAUAUUUUUUGGUCUAACAUUGUAAACAGUUCUGAUAGUAAACUAUAUAGAUAUAUUUAUAAACUCAACGUAGAUGGUGGAUUUACUUAGCUAUAGAAAGUGGAAGAUUUUAUGGUAUAGCAAGAAAUAAUAGAAUAUGUACUUUUUGUAAAAAUGAUAUAGAGGAUGAGUUUCAUUUCAUCCUCAAAUGUCCACGUUUUCAAGGUUUUAGAACAAUUUAUAUGAAGCCAUUUUAUUGGAAAAAACCGUCGAUGUACAAAUUUAUUAAACUGAUGAGUACUAAUAAUGUAAAAGAAUUGUGUAAUUUAGGUAAAUUUACAUUUAGAUCUUUUGAGCUUAGAUCCGAAAUGUUAAAAUAAUGUUUGUUUAUUCUACAACACCUUCUGCUGUCACAUAGUCUGUGUUUAUGUAUGUAUUAUAUGUAUUAUUGCUGUUGAUAUAAUUGUAUACCUAUAGUUUAUAUAGACUUUGGUAAUAAAGAUAUAUACUUUC